rnacentral:lncRNA from 12 species
AUGGAAGGAAGUAGCGUAGAUUCCGAAAGUGAUCCGGAAAUGGAGGAUGUGGAUAGUGGAGGCGGCGAGAAUGAAAGUAGUAAGUGGAGUGUAGUAGAAAAUCGGAAAAGAAAGAAAAAUUGGGACUCGGGCAGUGAGAAAGGAAAUCUCCAGGCUAGAAGAAGGAAAGAGGAGUAUAAGGUACUGUUUAAGUUUGUUGAUUCGGUAAAUGCAAUUAAUCCGUUGAAGCUGACGAAAACAUUGAAAGAAACGAUAGGGACGGUUGAAAGCAUUAAGACUUUGAGGGAUGGCAAUCUGAUGCUGUUUUGUAAAGACAGUAGGCAGCAAAAAUCAGCUCUGGGUAUAAAAUCAAUGAUUGGACAUAAGGUGAUAUGCUCGAUACCAGAAGAAAAGAAUUGGGUUAGAGGUGUUGUAUCAGGGAUUCCGACAGAUGUCACGGAGGAGAAGAUUAAAAGGAAUAUCACAGGAGCAGCGGUAAAGUUUGUCAGACGGCUCAAGUGUGUUAGAAAUAACGAAAAGACAGACAGCCUCUCAGUAAUGAUAAACUUUGAUGAAAAUAAAAUGCCAGAGAAAGUUUAUUUAGGAUUUGUAAGAUAUGCGGUAAGACCAUACGUUCCUCCACCACUAAGAUGUUAUAAGUGUCAAAAAUUCGGUCACGUAGCGGCAGUAUGCAGAGGUAAACAGAGAUGUGCGCGAUGCGGAGGCGAACAUGAGUACGGCAAGUGUGGGCAAGGUGUAAAUCCUAAAUGCUGCAACUGUGGUGGGGAACAUAGUGCAGGAUACGGUGGUUGUCAGGUACGGAAAAAAGCAGUCAAGGUUCAAAAUGUUAGAAUGACAGAAGGGAUAACAUACGCUGAGGCAUUGAAGAAAGUAAACCAGACUCCCAAAACAAAUGAAACUAGGAAUGAAGAAAUUCAUUCAAAACAACAGAGGAAAGAGCAAAGAGAUGAAAAGGUAGUAGUGGAUGAUAAGGUGGCAUUUGUAGCAUUUAUUGCUGAAGUAGUGAACUGUUCAGCUCAAACUGAAAGCAGGACUGAAAGAAUCAAAAUCAUUAUCAGAGCCGCAGAAAAGUACUUGGAUCUGGGGAAUGUUACUGUUGACAUGAUAAAUGAAAGGCUCAAGAUUCCAACAUUAAAUAGUCAA